GGUGCUGCAUGGCUGUCGUCAGCUCGUGUCGUGAGAUGUGGGUUAAGUCCCGCAACGAGCGCAACCCUUGUCAUUAGUUGCUACAUUCAGUUGGGCACUCUAAUGAGACUGCCGGUGACAAGCCGGAGGAAGUGGGGAUGACGUCAAGUCCUCAUGGCCCUUAUAGGUGGGGGCUACACACGUCAUACAAUGGCUGGUACAAAGGGUUGCCAACCCGCGAGGGGGAGCUAAUCCCAUAAAGCCAGUCGUAGUCCGGAUCGUAGUCUGCAACUCGACUACGUGAAGUCGGAAUCGCUAGUAAUCGUGGAUCAGAAUGUCACGGUGAAUACGUUCCCGGGUCUU
rnacentral:rRNA from 1 species